GACGAACGCUGGCGGCGUGCCUAAUACAUGCAAGUAGGACGCACAGUUUAUACCGUAGCUGCUACACCAUAGACUGUGAGUUGCGAACGGGUGAGUAACGCGUAGGUAACCUGCCUAUUAGAGGGGGAUAACUAUUGGAAACGAUAGCUAAUACCGCAUAACAGUAUGUAACACAUGUUAGAUGCUUGAAAGAUGCAAUUGCAUCGCUAGUAGAUGGACCUGCGUUGUAUUAGCUAGUAGGUAGGGUAAUGGCCUACCUAGGCGACGAUACAUAGCCGACCUGAGAGGGUGAUCGGCCACACUGGGACUGAGACACGGCCCAGACUCCUACGGGAGGCAGCAGUAGGGAAUCUUCGGCAAUGGGGGGAACCCUGACCGAGCAACGCCGCGUGAGUGAAGAAGGUUUUCGGAUCGUAAAGCUCUGUUGUUAAGGAAGAACGAGUGUGAAAAUGGAAAGUUCAUACUGUGACGGUACUUAACCAGAAAGGGACGGCUAACUACGUGCCAGCAGCCGCGGUAAUACGUAGGUCCCGAGCGUUGUCCGGAUUUAUUGGGCGUAAAGCGAGCGCAGGCGGUUAGAAAAGUCUGAAGUGAAAGGCAGUGGCUCAACCAUUGUAGGCUUUGGAAACUGUUUAACUUGAGUGCAGAAGGGGAGAGUGGAAUUCCAUGUGUAGCGGUGAAAUGCGUAGAUAUAUGGAGGAACACCGGUGGCGAAAGCGGCUCUCUGGUCUGUAACUGACGCUGAGGCUCGAAAGCGUGGGGAGCGAACAGG
rnacentral:rRNA from 1 species